rnacentral:rRNA from 1 species
GACGAACGCUGGCGGCGUGCUUAACACAUGCAAGUCGUACGGUAAGGCCCUUUCGGGGGUACACGAGUGGCGAACGGGUGAGUAACACGUGAGUAACCUGCCCACAACUUUUGGAUAACGCUAGGAAACUGGUGCUAAUACUGGAUAUGUGCUCCUGCUGCAUGGUGGGGGUUGGAAAGCUCCGGCGGUUGUGGAUGGACUCGCGGCCUAUCAGCUUGUUGGUGGGGUAGUGGCCUACCAAGGCGGCGACGGGUAGCCGGCCUGAGAGGGUGACCGGCGACAUUGGGACUGAGGUACGGCCCAGACUGCGACGGGAGGCAGCAGUGGGGAAUAUUGCACAAUGGGCGCAAGCCUGAUGCAGCAACGCCGCGUGCGGGAUGACGGCCUUCGGGUUGUAAACCGGUUUCAGCAGGGACGAAGCUUUUUGUGACGGUACCUGCAGAAGAAGCACCGGCUAACUACGUG